UUUCCGUAGGUGAACCUGCGGAAGGAUCAUUAAAAAAUUGGACUCCAUUGGUGAGUUCAUUAAUAAUCCCUACCCUUUGUGAAUUAGUUUGUUUGAAUAAUUUUUUUUCCAAAAAAAAUUAUUGAAUGUCUUUCCUUGUUUUGGUGGAGCUUGUAAAGUGAAACCAGGCAGGGGAAUGGCAAACAAUAAUUAUUUUUGAAAAAGACCUUUUUUUAAAAUUAAACUUUGUAUUCAUUUGUCUAAAAUUAAUUUUUAUAAUAUAAAAACAACUUUUGACAAUGGAUCUCUUGGUUCUCGCAACGAUGAAGAACGCAGCAAAAUGCGAUAAGUAGUGUGAAUUGCAGAAUACGUGAUCAUCGAAUCUUCGAACGCAUAUUGCACUUUUUAGUUUACUAAAAAAGUAUGUCUGUUUGAGUAUCAGUAAAAUAUUCUCAUAAAAAACAUUGUUUUUUUUAUGGUUAUGAGUGUUUUACAACGAUAACAAGUUGUUUCACUUUAAAUUCUUUGUUAUCAAAAAAAUCAUUAAAAGCUAAUUUUAAAGAUUUUUUAAAAUUGGAUAAAAUUUUCCCGUAAAAAGGAAUAACCUAAACAAUUUUAAAAAAUUAAAAUUGGUUUGAUUUCUUUUGAAACCCAAAGGAAAAAAAAACGAAAUUAACUUGAUCUCAAAUCAGAUAAGAGUACCCGCUGAACUUAAGCAUAUCAAUAAGCGGAGGAAAAGAAACUAACUAGGAUUCCCUCAGUAACGGCGAGUGAAGCGGGAAGAGCUCAAAUUUGAAAUCUUCAAGGUUUUACCUUGACGAAUUGUAGUUUAAAGAAGUGUUUUUCUGUUGGAGUUUUGGUAAAAGUUCUUUGGAAAAGGACAUCAUAGAGGGUGAGAAUCCCGUAUUUGACCAUUAUCUCCAGCUUUGUGAUACACUUUCAAAGAGUCGGAUUGUUUGGGAAUGCAGUCCAAAAUGGGUGGUAAAUUUCAUCUAAAGCUAAAUACUGGCGAGAGACCGAUAGCGAACAAGUACCGUGAGGGAAAGAUGAAAAGAACUUUGAAAAGAGAGUUAAACAGUACGUGAAAUUGUCAAAAGGGAAGCGUUUGACACCAGUGUUGUUUUCUCGAAAAUCAAUUAAAAAAGGCCGGAUUUUGUGUUGUAUUGACUUUAUCAGCUUUCUGCACUCUUUCUUGUCUUUUUUAAUGCACUUUUCGUUUAACAAGUCAACAUCAAUUUCUUUUGUUGUAAAAGGGUCAUUGGAAGGUGGCUUUCUUUUCGGAGAAAGUGUUUAUAGCCUUUGGCCUCUGCAAUCGGAGAGAUUGAGGUCUGCAGCGUAGAUCCUUCGGGGUUAGAUACAUUUGUGCUAAGUCAUAGCCUUUCAUAGACAACUUGUUGACUAUGAUCAGUCAUGUAGCUUACUCGCUUAUGCUAUUU
rnacentral:misc_RNA from 1 species